rnacentral:rRNA from 1 species
UAUGCCUACGGGACGCAGCAGUGGGGAAUAUUGCACAAUGGGGGAAACCCUGAUGCAGCGACACCGCGUGAGUGAAGAAGUAUUUCGGUAUGUAAAUCUCUAUCAGCAGGGAAGAUAAUGACGGUACCUGAGUAAGAAGCCCCGGCUAACUACGUGCCAGCAGCCGCGGUAAUACGUAGGGGGCAGGCGUUAUCCGGAUUUACUGGGUGUAAAGGGAGCGUAGACGGCAUGGCAAGUCUGAAGUGAAAGCCCGGGGAUCAACCGCGGGACUGCUUUGGAAACUGUUAAGCUGGAGUGCAGGAGAG